rnacentral:misc_RNA from 1 species
AGCACGUCAUACAAUGACCCACCAAACGUUUUGGUAGCCAAUUCGAUACGACAAGGGAUGAUGUUACGUUGAAGCACUCACCAUCUAGAAUGUUUCCCAGCCUUGCUGGGUUUCAUCCGGACCACACCUACAGUGAAGUGGCUGGAGGCCGUCAAUGCUGAAUGCUAAAGAUGCUGAACAACGAUGUCGCUUUGAGCUGCGUCACGCAACGGAUCAAAUCAUUGGAUCACCGAGAGCCACGUGCGAUCGCAGCAGUCUUGCAUUUGUAAACAUUGCAGCUCGCUCGCGAUCAUGCGCAGUGCGCCACCAGAUCAGGAACACGAACAUCAAUCCUGCUGACCAGCAAGCCGCGUGCGCUACUCAUCACGCGGACGACUUCGAGGCCUGAAUGGUUCUCAUUAUUUUCCCAAUUCACGUGUGUUUCACCCUCGUGGAGACUACCCUCGGGCAGAUAACUACAGUUUCGACAAGAUUGAGAGUCUCGGUGUGGUUGUCAUGUUUUCUUUUCCUGUCGUGAAGUGGAUUGGUUUUCGACUUUAACGCGUCUCAAACUCUGCACGUUGAGGCAACUCCAUAAAGACUCGGCUUACGUGAAUACGUGCCAUACCACUCGUGCUGUAGGCAAGCAAGUCUACUGCGCACAGGUGAAUAUCACCAUGGCCUGACGAAACAACUCAUGACCAGGUAAUUGCCAUUUCGAUUCACUCCAUGUCUUGCUCGUUUGAUUUUCUGGAAAAUGAACAGUCAGUAAUGGUCUAUUACUUAAAUCUGCGACGGAUGGGCCUAGAGGAUUGAAUAUCUUAAUGAGUCAGUCUUCUGUGAUCGACCCGGAGGUCAAUGCUUGCAUAGGGCUGGGGACGUAAUACGUGCAUAACGGGGAUGUGGACACCAUCACCUGUGACUUCUACAAAUCAGAAUGAUCCGGAAUCGCAACCAUCAACAUCUCAGGAACCAGUGGCCACAGCCCAUACAAUGUUAUCAUCUACCGAGGGUAUCGACACCCUCCAGCCGACCCCAACAACUCCUAGUGUCGACCCCGAGUCCCAGUUCGACGAACACUGGACCGGCACGACGACUCCUUACAUGGCGACCGACGCUGUUGAAGACACGUCCAACUUUCCAGCCUCGACGACGUUGUACAGAUCGCGAGCAGACGACAUAUUUACCAGCCAGCAGGAAUUUGGACGGAGCUCCGUCAUCGCAUCGUCCGUCGUCACGGCAACUGUUUCUGAGAUCAUAACCGAAAAGGAAGCUUCCACCACAACAGCAGGAUAUUUUACACCUUACGAACAAUUUAAAUUAGGCCUCAUUGUGACGCUGUCGAUUGUCAUCGGUUGUUUUGCCAUCACAGCGAUUUCACUCCGCAUCAGGAGCAGAAUAAAGAAGAGGCGACAGGAACUCGAGUUAACGAGAAAAAGAAGGAAGAAUGUGGCUGGCAACACCAACACCAAGCCAGCGGUGAAGAGAGUCACCAUCCAGAUGGGCAGGGACUCCAGCUCCAGCACCAAGAGGAGCAACAAGCGACCCCGGAGAGGUCACAGUCCCUCCUUGCAAUCCAGGGCCAAGAUACCGGAGGUUCACAGUGGGGGUGGUAUGGACCGCAGUCGAACUUUGGACGCCCUUCUGGAUGCAGGGACCUACGCCCCUAGUACCCCACUCCCUCUACAGCUGACACGAAAUCGCACCAGGAGCGACGUCUCGUCCAGGACCGGUCUUGUCAUGGGAAGCAAGUCUUAUGACGUAAGUGAGCAUGCCUACGAUAACCCUGCAAUCUCUUCGGCCGAGGAGAUGACAACUGAGGUGUCUGUGCUCAGCGAAGACACCUGUCCGCCCUUGCAGAUGAAAAUUGAUGCGGAUGUUCAUUGCAGUCACACUGAUGCCUUGACGCAGAAUGCGUCCGAUUCAGAAGAUGGUUCUGUGGAGAAGGGCAACUUCAUCGAGGGCUCUGAGACGGAAAGCCUCGGUGACGCCAGAAAACGAUUCAAAUUCAAUCACUACUUCGGGAUGCGGUCCAACCAGCGGAAUGAUUCCAAGGAUUCUGGGUACGUUGAGAGCUUCAUCUCUCAGGACAGCUUGCGUCUCAGGGCCAUGGCGUCCCUAGAAGAAGGAAGGGCCUUAUCAGAGGGGUUGAGCUUCGCUGCUGGGCAAGAGAGAAUAUUACCCAGGCUUGCUAACAUUGAACCGUCCUUCUUCAUGGCAAGUGUUGACGAGACAUCGAACCUCAACUUGAACAGAUCUAGCUCCAUAAAGUCUGAGAACGAUGGAAGAGCUCACCCCAAAGCCUACCAAGGCGGCAAUGUUAUGACAAUGAGACAGUCCCGAUACAGUGUUCCAUCAUUUCCAACCCAGUACCCACAAUGCUAUCCACGGAGCAAGCAGGUGAACCCAAGUCUGUACCAUGAGCUCUACGGUGCCCCGUAUCUACCUUUCAAAGCCACCAUGCAGAGAUACCCAAGCAGUGAAAGCAGUGCAUACGAUUACCCUUCUAACCAAAGCGACUAUGGCCUGACGUCGCUAAGGAGCAGCACCGCCAACCGCGUCCUGCCGAAGAGCCUGAGCUACGAAACCACGGUGUUCAGAAGCCGGGACUUCGUCUCGCCCCAGCACAAACCCAGGACUCAAGACUACGCUCACCAGAAACGUAUCAAACGCUUCGUGAAGCGCCGGAGCUUGGGCACACAAACCGGCGACAGCGAUGACUUGAAGACAAAUGUGCAGCCAAUAGUGCAGUGGGAUUUUGACGGCACGGGGAACCUUGUUGCCAAGCCUCGAGAAAACAUAGGGGUCGACUUCAUUGGGCCAAUAUACAUGGCCGAGGAACUUGAAGAAAUGGGUGUACCCAAGGCACAGUUAUAAGUAUGAAGAUUUGGUCGAGUCCAACCAAACCUACACUGCUUCUAAAAUGCCUGUAUAAUCCGAGAAAUGCUGUAACUGGAGGGGCUGAAAGCAGUUUCCAAGCCAAUCCAUUUUGGAGUCAGAUAUGAAUUAAAGGUCAUUUUCUAAAGCAGCAAGUGAGCCGACCAGUUAAUGACCGACCAGCUGGGGAGUAUUGGCAAAGCCAGCUUGACAGCCUGCCAGUAAAAAAAACUAACAAGAAGGUGGGAACCAAGACCAGUCCACUCAGCUAGCCGACAUGUUAAACACAGAAACGUAUCUGACAUUAAAACCACGAGUCUAUCAUAUAGCAGCUAUCUGCCCCGAGCUGAAGUGCACCCCCAAUUGGCAAAAGAAAGACGUGAUUACAGGUCAUUAAAGGUGAUUAC